rnacentral:rRNA from 1 species
GACGAACGCUGGCGGCGUGCUUAACACAUGCAAGUCGAACGGAAAGGCCCUGCUUUUGUGGGGUGCUCGAGUGGCGAACGGGUGAGUAACACGUGAGUAACCUGCCCUUGACUUUGUGAUAACUUCAGGAAACUGGGGCUAAUACCGGAUAGGAUCUCCUGCUGCAUGUUGUGGGUUGGAAAGUUUCGGCGGUUGGGGAUGUACUCGCGGCUUAUCAGCUUGUUGGUGGGGUAGUGGCUUACCAAGGCUUUGACGGGUAGCCGGCCUGAGAGGGUGACCGGCGACAUUGGGACUGAGAUACGGCCCAGACUCCUACGGGAGGCAGCAGUGGGGAAUAUUGCACAAUGGGCGGAAGCCUGAUGCAGCAACGCCGCGUGCGGGAUGACGGCCUUCGGGUUGUAAACCGCUUUCGCCGGUGACGAAGAGUGAGUGACGGUAAUGGGUAAAGAAGCACCGGCUAACUACGUG